UCCGUCCUACUGAAUGCAAGUAUCAGCCUGCACUGGAUUAGAAUCCCAUUUCAGAGACCACUUGAACUACUGGUGUUUCAAUACUGCAGAUACUACAUUGUGAGACAGAUCCAGGCCUGACACCUGCUGUUGUGUCAGCAAACAUCAAUAAGCUAUGACACCUACGGUUACAACCUUCAAAUAUCAAAACACUGAAAGUCAACUUCAGAGGCUGAUUAUUGUUCUUGACAACAGUUAUGGCUCUGUUGUGCUUUCCUAACUGAAAAACAAGAACUCUGUAAAAGCUCAGGUCACGGAAAAAGGUGACUACAGGAUGGGAAAUGACGAUGUAAGAGCAAGGGAGGGGGGGAAAAAACCAAAGACUAGGAUCAAGAACAGUAUUCAUAUAUAUAAAAAUUUAUUUAGGUGAAGUCACAAACAUUUUUUUUUUAAUCGAUUUACAAACACUUCAUGUUAAGCAUAUUAUUGAAACUAUCAAGAAAGUUAAAGGAGAGCAGAUAACGGCAGUUGGUUUUUUUUUCCUGAAACAACUAAAGGCAAACCCUUACCAUCAAGCGCGUUACUGGAUCAUAGUAUUACCUUGAUCAUACUCCCUAGUAUGCGAGGGGAGAGGAAAAGAAAACAAAAUACGGAGAUGUAAAACAAUUAAACCAUGAACCAAUGAAUGAUUUUCAUGAACGUCAGACCACAAAAGUCUGGUCUGACGUUCAAGAUGCUAACUAUUCUAUGAGGAUAAAACAAGAACAAUAAUUUAGGUCAGCUAUUAAAUCCGUUCAAGAAUUUUGCAAUGCAUACAUGGGCUAUAAAUUACUUCUGGAAAUGACAGCAAUGGUUAAAGAACUUUGUUCAGAGCAGAACGAAGAGGUGGUACUGAGCCUCACAGAAUAAUUUUGUCAACAACCUGAGUUAUACCAAAUGUAGGAUACUGCGUCAAGUCAAAUAUACAUUUCUGUUGCAGAUAUUGUCAAUGAAAUGCUAAAAUUAACAGGUGUAACAAGACAAGGUAGGAUUUAUUUUUUAAGCAAAUAUAGUACACAGAUUUUGUUUUUUUUUUGAAGUGUCCAGUCGUGAUCUGCAAAGAUCCAGGAUUGCACACAAGUUUGCUCAAAUGAGAAGGGUUAAUCUGCGCAUUAAAUUGGCUUAUACUCUCAAAGUAGUAUUUUAGGGCAGGGCUCUCCUCCGGGAGACCGUUCCUGACCUCAUUCAAUCAAUGUUCAAUUUAUUCACUCUCCUGAAUCUUUGCCCUCUUUGGAUAGUCUGUGACAAGUGCUGCGCUGCAGGAAUUCCUGUUUUCCAGCAAACCGGCUUGCUCUGCAGGUUUGUAGUCCAUUGUUACAAUUGCUGAUUGGGUAAAAUGAAUUUCCUACGUCUUCUCUAGCACAGCUUGCAACGCAACAGAAGCAGAGGUAAAAGAAUGCACUAGAAUACCAGAGCUCCACUUAAACACCAACGGAGUCAGGCUGUUGGCACCAAUAAGAAAUUUUGUAUUUAACAAAUCUGUCAAUAUUUAAAAACCAAAGUUAGUCAGUUUUAUAUAUAAACUCACCCGCUUAUCCUGCCUGCCAUUCCAACUGGCCUUCUGCUUUCACGGAGUCUGAAAUAAAAAGAAAGAAACUAAGAAUUGUCCAAAGAUAAUCCAGGCAUAAAUUCGUAGGAAUGAACCUCAGCUAUCCUAUAACACACGUGCCAAUCACUGCUCUUAAACAAAAACGAGGGUUUCUCACUUUACCAAACGCAAAGCAAAGUUACAGCUCUCUACUUGCUCUCAAGAAGUUGCAACUGGCCUCAAACACAUCCUUUCAUUUUUGUUGACUUUCUACUGGUUGACCUUCUGUGGAACUGCAAAACUAGAGAGAUACAGACACCGCAACAAGCUGAAACGUAAGGAGCACCCUCUGAAUGGGAAGAUGAAAUAGAAUUUGGCUGCCUAAUGCUGACCUUUGAAGCCAUGAAAACAAAAUCAAUUCAAGCAAUCUUGAAGAAAAGGCCUCUGUAAAACAGUUUCCCUUCCUCUUGUGACAGUACGAAGGUACUCAGAUUCUGGUCAAAGCCUGCUCUCUAUAAAAGCCUAUUCUCUCCCAUUUAAAUGAGAGAACUGUCUUGCCCCAAUGUCAAGUCACAGCCUUUUAUUCCUUUCAAGCAGUUACACAACAUGGAGCUCGCAAGGAGCUGCGUGUGGGCGAGGGGGAAACCCAUAGGUCACCUGGUGUUUCCCUGCUGCUGCCGUGCCAGUAACAAGCUCAAGCUUUAUCCCAGGCCUGGUCUACAUUUAACAGCUGCUCAGGCAAUCGUUUCAGUUAAGGACUUUUUCUUUAAAAAACAGUUAUAAAAUACCCUGUGCUACCAAUUAAUAUCUGCUCCAAUAAUAGAGAAGUAGUUGAACCCACAAUGAACAGCAGCUACACAGCCUUCACUUUUACUUUCCAUUAUGCUACUAUAGCAAUGUAGCUUUUACAUUCAAGCCAAUCAUUAAGCUAAAAGUUGGUAUUUAGCAUACUAGCUAACUAAAAUAAAUAAGCUUUAUUUCAAUUCACACAGCUUACAGUAUCUUCUUUAGACGCAAGUAAAGUCAAUGCCAAUGCUCAAAUUCAUUGGAAAAUUUGCACAAAAUCAGAGAUGGAGACAUGGGGUGCCUAGCAGCAGCAGCCUGGAGCUCUGCACUCACAGAACAGCUAUUGUGAGAGUUACAGUCUAGUUAACGUUACAAACUGAAGAUCCCGUGCAGGACAAGAUGAAAGAUAAGAGGUGUUUUCCAUCUGGUGCUCACAUAACAUCAGUAGUAAAACAAAAACCGAGCUGCUGUUGCCAAGAAUGGAGAAAUCUAAACAAAGAUAUCAGAACGAGUUAGGUAAUCUGGAAUACCAAACACAGACAGCACCAAGGCCAUACAGCUGGCAUUGGGAUCUAUUACGGCAUUCAUUAAAAGGUAUUAGUUUCCAUUCCUUUCCAUGCAGGUUGGCCCAAGAUGUUGCUAGAGAAGUCAGCAGUUGGUGCAAUGCAUUGAACACUUGCAGAUAUCCUGAAAAACACUGUCCCUUUCCAGAUCAGACUAAUUCAGCCACUGCUGAGUGAGUAUCCUACGGUAUCUGUUGAGCAAAACCCUUUGGGAUGGCAAAGAUUCUUCCUACGGGCCUAAAAAAAAUAGUUGAGAAAUAAAUAUGAAUAAUCUAACAGAAUCCUUCAACCAUCAGUCAGCUGGCAUGAAACUCUAAACAUUUGGUGCCCAGUGUAUGUCACACCAUGCAUCUGACAGAUUCCAGCCACCAGUAUCCUAAAAAAAUCAAAAGCUGCAGUACAGCCCCAAAUAUAGACAGGCAGCACUCUUGUACUACUGGUGCUUGCUGUCACCACUCAAGUAGUGGAAACAGCAAAUUUGCCCAUGUAUGUUUGUGGUUAUGCCAAUUCAGUGACACUCGAUGCUUGCAAUAAAAGCAAAUCCUUGACAAAAACAAAAUCCCUCCCUGCUUCCCCUAAUCACACGCAUUCCACAAAACAGGCCAGAACUUGUGGACUAAACCUACGGAGGCUGAAACUAAAUUACAUCUCCAAAUCAUGGUAAAUUUGCAAGCUGCAGCCAUUCAAACUGAAGUUCCUCUUCACUGACACCCAUGUUUACGGCCUCCGACGCAGCUUGCAGCUACCACAUGCUCCCACAGUAACAGGCCUCUACUCUUUGUCUCAGGAUCUUAGAUACAAUUUUAUUGCUGAGAAAGCUAUUUGUUUUAAGACAAUUCGAAAAAAAAAAGAAAAGGAACCUUUCUUCUGAUGUCCUAAGGAAAACGCGUUACAUCCCAAGGGAGAGAACGACUGGCAUUUCCAACUCCUGAGGGGCAGAGCGAUAGAUACUGCAGCUAUAUGCUGUGAGUCCCCUUCCCCACAGCGCCCACCCCUCCCUGCAGACACGGUCCAACAUCUCACAGACCCGGGCCAAAGCCCUCCACGGGCACAGGGAUGGGAAGCAGCCACCCCAGCUCCCCUCGCCCCUUCUCUGCUCCUCCAAAGGGCACCACCGGGGCCAGGGAACCACCCUGCUGCCUGCCGUCACACCUGGCUCUUCUCCUCCUUCUUGGGGCUCUGGGAUGACGACGACGAUGAAGGCGGUGGCUGUGCCGGCGGCGCGGCCUUCGGCUCGCUCUCGAUACGAUUGUGCCUGCUGAGGAGCGACUUGAGAGGGGCCAUCCACUUCAUCCACAGGUCCAGGUACUUGAACAUGGCCCCGCAGCGCGCCGGGUGCUUCUCGCACACCACGCUGGCGUACACCAGAAAGGCCGACACCCACUGGUCCAGCGUGUCCCCCGGGUGCGGGCCGUGCUCGGGGGUCAGCUCUGUGUGGAGCAAGGAAAAGAGGUCAAUGAACUCCCCCCGCCAGAUGCGCUCCUUGGUGGCCUUGGCCAGCUGGUAGCCCAGGGGCCGCCGCAGCCCCACGUAGGGGGUGGCCGCCGCUUCCGCCGUGGGGGGCGCGGGCGCGGG
rnacentral:lncRNA from 1 species